rnacentral:ncRNA from 1 species
AACAUUGCUGUGAAAAAGAAAAGUACCUUUUGUAUCCUUGUAAAGCGAGUCCAGAUUGGUGAGAGCUGGAUGAUGGAACAAAGGGGAAGGGCGCUUUGGAGCAAUGCAAAUAAAGUGGCUCUUUAAGAGAGCAAAUAGGGUGGAACCGCGGUUGAUCCCCGUCCCUAUG